rnacentral:lncRNA from 1 species
AUCCUCAGGGACUCGAGACACCUCCCUCCUGCUGAGCCUGAAGCACCCGCUCCCCUCCCUGAGGCACACGGCUGUGGAACAGCUAUUGGGAAUUGUCACCUCGGGACAGGAGGGCUUUGACCGGGCCUUCCUAUAGGAGGCCCUGUUGGAGCGCAUGAAGGAGGACGGCCCCGAGGUGGUGGCUGCAACUUUGAAGGCUCUGGAGGUGUCCACAGUCGGAGGCAGUGAGGGUUCUGGAGGAACCCAGACUGGUUGAGGGGAUCUCUGACCUGAGGGCCCGUGUCAUCAGGAUCUAUUGCCCUUCCUUGUGGUCAUCUCGGCCCUGCCGGACUCCCCAGACCUCCAGAUGGCCACUUGUGUGGCCCAGUCUCCACCCUCUUAUACCAGCACCACCGCACUCAGGGCUGGGCCCAUGCACUCAAGGAUGUGAUGGAGAGGAUUUCUCAGCCAACCAACAUCUCAACACAGACCAAGAACCUGUCUAACAUGGACCCCUUCUCCAAACGCAAUGCUAUGAGUGAUUAGUAAACAUUUGUUGGUGUAUCCAAAGUACCAUUUGAAACAAACCUGCCUUACUUUCCUGAAACUGAUAUGAUGAUUUUUGGAUCUCUCCGCGGCCUAGCUCAGGUAAUAUCCCUUUUUGCAGCUCGAAAUUUGGAUUAACAUGCUGGUUUCAAGAGGAAAUUGUCAUAAGUAACACAACUCACCCUUGACCUCAUUUGCAUGUCUUCUAGCUGGUUGAAGCUGGCUGGUGUGGUAGCGGUCCAGCGGGGCAGCCUGUGGGAGAGGGCAGUGUUCAUGGUGCCGAGCCAGACCUUAAUGCAGGGCCUGGGGGACGUGAGUGAGACCCAGCACCUCCACACCGCCCAGUGUGUCUACUCCCUGCUGGAGCUUUCAAUGCUGGAACUUACCCAGAAAGACAUGCCUCAGCAGGAGGAUAGUCAUGGAAGAGUACCUGUAGAGGGCAGGGCAGAGAGACAGCGUAUGGGGUGCUGCUGGUGUCACUGCUGGUGUCACUGCUUAGAGGACUCUUAUCUAGUCAAGUGCCACGACGCUUCCUUCAAAAAUGUUCCUUUUUCGAAAGCAAUUGGCUGCAUAUUGUUUUUCAUCAUGUUCAAGUAA